rnacentral:rRNA from 1 species
GUCCACGCCGUAAACGUUGGGCGCUAGGUGUGGGGGCCAUUCCACGGUCUCUGUGCCGCAGCUAACGCAUUAAGCGCCCCGCCUGGGGAGUACGGCCGCAAGGCUAAAACUCAAAGGAAUUGACGGGGGCCCCGCACAAGCGGCGGAGCAUGUGGAUUAAUUCGAUGCAACGCGAAGAACCUUACCUGGGUUUGACAUGCACCGGACGCGGCCAGAGAUGGUCGUUCCCUUGUGGCUGGUGUGCAGGUGGUGCAUGGCUGUCGU